CAUUUUUUAACCCAAAAGGCAUUUUGUUAAACUCAUAAUGGCCAUGAGGGGUCGAAAAGGCGGUCUUUGCUUUUGAUUUAGGGUCCAUUGGAAUUUGAUGAAAACCAGAAGCCAAAUCAAGGAUACUAAAAUAUUUUGCUGCUCCAAGUUGAUCCAGUAUAUCAGUAAUAUUAGGAAGUGGAUAGGCGUCACUGAUAGUUUUUUCAUUUAAUUUGCGAUAGUCGAUGACCAUGCGCCAACGUGGUUUGCCUGACGGACUGGAUUUCUUCGGGACCACCCAAACAGGUGGAAAACGGUAUUGCUUAGUAUUUAUAGGAAUCUCAUCUGUUGUGACGAUUGCAUGAUGAAGAACUUUAGUGGAACCUAGUUUUUCUAUUGGCAAAUGGAAUUGAUAAGGGAAUUCAUUGAUAAUCUCCAGGAUGCUAGCACGUUCGACUUCGUUGAGAUCAUUCAGUUCUAAAAGUUCAGCUAUUUGAACCAACCUAUUCUUUAAUUGGGACGGAUAUGAGUGUUUUCGUACGAGGAAACAAUUUAAAAGAGGAUGAUGAGAGAACAAAAAAUUCAUCAUCAAUCUGUAGACUAUUUGGCAUACUAUUUCCAAAUCUUAAUACCGCAUCUUGAUUUUCUAAAAAUGGCAUCCCCAAAAUUCCUGCCUCGGCGAUGGGAAAAACAUCCUGAACAACUUGGAAUUUAACGUUAAUGUCACGAACUUUAAUGCUAACCUCUCCGCAGAUUCAAUUGUGAGCCCGUAUCAAUGAGGAAGUCAGCAGAUCCUCCAUGGAAACAGCUGUGAAUUAAUUUUAUCACCGGAGAAUGCCCAAUGUUUUUUAUUUCGACCUGGGAGCAGGCCCGACGGGUUUGAAGGGAGCAAUCCACGGUUCGUUCCGCGCAACUCCCCGACGUGGAACGCCCUUUGAGUUUAAAUGUCCCUGAUCCCUGAUUUUAUAAGAAGAAACACCUUGAGGCUGAGGAUUUCGUCGUGUUUCCUGAAUUUGAGGACAAUGACUUUGCAGAUGUCCCACUUUAUUACACCGAAAACAUCG